rnacentral:tRNA from 1 species
GGUGGGGUGGCCGAGCAGGCUUAAGGCACUCGCCUGCUAAGCGAGUAGAGUGGCAGAAACCGCUCUCGAGGGUUCGAAUCCCUCCCCCACCG